rnacentral:piRNA from 1 species
CAGGCAGAAAGUAAAAGUGACCCUGACUUA